UCAGAAGUCUGUCACUUUUACAGUCUGUGAUAAAACACUUUGUGUACAUGUUGUUGAAACGUUAUGGAUAUUAGAACGUUUUUCAAAAGACCACCCAGCUCCAUUCAAGCAACAACAUCGCCCAGUGAACUGACGGAUGGUGUUGUUUCAGCAAUGGCGACCAGGGUCAGAGCGGACACAUGCACGGAGCAAUACUGCGCAAAGCGACUGACGUGGCACAUCGCCCUGCCAAAAACCCAAGUGCUGUGGACAAACCGCACCUGCAGUAUCGAAGUGAGAGAAUUGACACCACAUGCAUUGCAAGUUUUGCAAUUAUUCUGCAGACCAAGACGGUCUCAUCAGACAUCACCAGCUUAACCACAGAAGACCAAACCAUUGGCCGUGUGUUCACCCCAACUGUGUGUGUGUCUUCAAAACCCAAGGAGCUUUAAGGUCACAUCUUUCAAGAAAUCAUAGGAAAGGUACAUCUGUUCACCAUCAUGAACAUGAAGAUGAUGAUGCUUCACUUGAGGAACAAAGAAUGCUCUUGAUGGAAGCAUCAAAGAAAGCCCGAGUAGAUGACACACUUAUCAGGGUGAAGAUGGACCUGACAUUCUCCCUCAGGUGGUUGAGGACCAACCCAUGGUGAUACAAAAUCGAUGGCCUGCUUUGUUCUUUAAAGAACAGAUUGGUGAGGAGUUUUUUUCGCAUCAUCAACAAGAACUUACUGGGAACAUUUUGAGCUGCAGUGGAGAAAUACACUCCGAAACUCCUUUGGCUCUACCGAAAGCAUCCUUUGGACAGGACCUAGAACACAUCCUGAUGAAGCUUGAUGAUGAGACCUCUAAUAUUAUCCGGCACCGCCAAGAUGCUGCACUCAGAGGACUUCCCAUUUUUCUCUGUGAGGAACCUGGAGAACUUUUCAAGCAAUGUCUUGAAACUGAUCCAGAUGAUGUGGCUGUGGGGGUGCUUUAUGUCCUUGAGGACUGUGCUGUGGAAACCUCCUCUCCAAAGGUGCAAAACAUUUCAUUGAUUCUGGAGGAAUCUGUAGUUCUACAGGACAUCGCGGAUACUCCCACUGCAGUGGCAUACCUACGCCCUCAACAUUUCCUACCCAGAAGAUCUCUCACACACACACACACACACACACACACACAC